GUGCUCUCUCACACAGACAGGAAGUGUAGUCCUCAAGAGGCACAGGAAACGGGGAAGGCCUGGAGUCCUGGAAAGGCUGAUAACUCCCACAUUUUUCCUUUGACGGAAGUGGGGAGAUGGGGUGGCCGCUUGUAAGACGUGCUCGAAAUAGCUUGGUGGUGUUCUCUCCUUCUACUACUUCUGACUUUGUAUAAGGCAGCCUUCUAUGCUUGGGGAAAGGCCAUAUCUAAGUUGGAGAGCAUCUGCCUUGCAGAGCCGUCUUUCCCAUAGGGCUUAGUGGUGCGUUGCGCCGGGGCUCCGGCCUCUCAGAGGCGCCCCAGCGAGUGGGGGAGCUGCGCGGCUUUGCCGGCGGCCUCCCCUUUCUCUGCGCGCCCGCCAGCUGUGCCCUGUCAACCAUAUGGCUGGCGGGCGCGCAGCUUCCCUCCCAAGCCUCUGGAGGGAUUGCUCUCCCACAGCGGCAUGGGGGAGAGUUGCGCACCCUCCCCAUUGCUGGCAGUGCGCAGCUUCACCCCCUCCCCCACUAUCCAUGGUAAUUUAGGGGCGCUAAGCAUGGCCAGCAGGGACGUGGGUGGUGCUGUUGGUUAAACCACAGAGCCUAGGACUCGCUGAUCAGCAGGUCGGCGGUUCUAAUCCCUACGAUGGAGUGAGCUCCCGUUGCUUGGUCCCAGCUCCUGCCAACCUAGCAGUUCAAAAGCUCGUCAAAAUGCAAGUAGAUAAAUAGGUACCGCUCCGGUGGGAAGGUAAACGGCAUUUCCGUGUGCUGCUCUGGUUUGCCAGAAGUGGAUUAGUCAUGCUGGCCACAUGACACCGAAGCUGUAUGCCGGCUCCCUCGGCCAAUAAAGCGAGAUGAGCGCUGUAACCCCAGAGUCGGUCACGACUGGACCUAAUGGUCAGGGGUCCCUUUACCCCCUUUAAGCAUGGCCAGUGGUCAGGGAUGAUGGGAGCUGGAAGUUGAGCAAGAUCUGGAGAGCCACAGACAUUUCCCAAACUUCUUCUGACUUGGUAUGAGACAGCCUCCUAUGAUUAGGGACAGGCCAUAUCUAAGUGGGAGAGCAUCUGCCUUGCAUGGAGAAAGGCCCAGGUUCAAUCCCCAAGAAAUAUCCAGGUAGGGCUGGAAGUGCCACCUUCCUUCCUGAAAACCCUGGAGAGCUGUUGCCAGUCACUGACAACACUGAGCCAAGGGGACCGAUGGCCUGACUUCCUGCGCAUCCCACAAUUUGCAUGUUGACAAGCUGGAAUGUGUACAGAGGAGGGUAAAUAAGAUGAUCAAGGGUCUAGAACAGGGGUUGUCAACCUGGUCCCUACCACCCACUAGUGGGAGUUUCAGGAUUCUAGGUGGGUGGCAGCGGGUUCUACAGCACAGGCUGAAUCCUUCUUCCAUCGAACACUGGUGGGCGGUAAGGAAAUUUUGCCAUCAAGAAAGAUGCAUUAGUGGGCAGUAGGGAAAAAAAAGGUUGACUACCCCUGGUCUAGAAGACAAGCCUUAUGAGGAAUGGUUGAAGGAGCUGGCUAUUUUUAGCAUAGAGAAAAGGAGAUUGAGAGGAGACAUUGUUAUAAGAAAAACCGUUCCCUUUCCCUUAUGGGGUAUUCUAGAGCCCACAUAGAGUCCUUAAGUGGGUUCCCUAUCGGUUGGAGAAAAUAACAGAGGUCAACCAGAGUAUAUUGAGAAGCAAGGCGGCUAGUAAGCCUGAUCUUUAUUCAAGGAACUGUUGCAACAGGGUCCCCACUCACCACACACAGGAGGGAGGAGGAACCAAGAACAAUGGUGCAUAAGCCCUUAUAUAAACUUCUGAAAUUGCCCACCCUGUAGCCCAAGACCACCCCUGAAACAUCAUACAUACAUCACAGAAGGAGGUGGUCUACAGCAGAAAUCCUGUCUGCCACGAUACCUGAUAAUGGUCAUUGAUUGCAUUACCUGGGUAGCGUGGCCAUUCUUUCGUGAUGGUUACUACUUUAGUUCCUGAAUCCAGGUCACAGACUCACCCUAUUCAUACACAAAUACACCCUUAAGACAGGAUUUGCAAGCAAAAAAGCAAUGGGAAGGCUUUCCCCAUUUGCCUCCCUUACUGCAGAGGAAUAUUUGAGGUCACUGGGAGAGUCAAAAUGGCUUCAGGAUUGCUCUCCCGUACUAUUUCAGACACACGGUUCAUAUAUUUAGAUAUGUGUGCAUUUAUGAAUAUUUAUUCUAUAUUUGAGACCUUAAAAUUCCUAUAAUAUCUUGUAACCCUGGAACGUUCAGCUUUGUCCAAAUUCAUGGAUUAUGAAGCUAUCUGUGGCUCCUAGCCAUGAUGGUUCAGAAAAGGGCAACCAAAAAUUAUGCAGGGGGUUGGGCAAAUCCACUAAGUGGAAAGGUUGCAGCGUUUGGGACUUUUUAACGUUUGGAGGACAGGUGAGUAAGAGGCAACAUGGUAUAAGUUUACAAAAUUAUGGGGAAAGUGGGGAGAGAGAGAGAGAGAGAAGUUUUUCUGCCUCUCUCGUAGCACUAGAACUGGUGGACGUCCAAAGAAGUUGGAUGUUGGACUAUCCAAGACACAUAAACACAAGUCCUUCUUCACACAGCACAUAGCUGAACCACUGAACUCAUUCCCAGAGGAGGCAGUGAUGGCCCCUCCCCAACUUGGAUGGCUUCAAAAGAGGAUUGGACAAAUUGAUGGAGGACGACUGUUGAUGGCUGCUAGCCAGGCUGGCUAUGCUCUGCCUCCGCAGCUGGAGGAAGCCAUGCUUCAGAACGCUACUUGUUGGAAGUCACAGGGGGAUCUUGUGCUCAGGUCCUGCUCGAGGGUUUCCCACAAGGCAUCUGCUUAGCCCAGGCAUAGGCAAACUCGGCCCUCCAGAUGUUUUGGGACUACAACUCCCAUGAUCCCUAGCUAGCAGGACCUGUGGUCAGGGAUGAUGGGAAUACAUCUGGAGGGCCGAGUUUGCCUAUGCCUGGCUUAGCCACUGUGAGAACAAGAUGCUGGACUAGGUAGGGCUCCUUUGGCCUAAUCCUGCAGGCUCUUCUUCUGUCCUCAUGCAAAGGCAUGGCACGUGCUCGGAACUAGCUCAGCACAGGACCCAUAAACGGGGAGGUGCGUGUAGGACUAUUUGGGAAACAGGAGCAGGAAACAGAUGGAACCAACACUUCAGAUAACUAAUCUAAUAGAUAAACAGGGCAUGUUUUAAUAAUGGACAUGUACAGUAGUUGGUUAAGGGUGCUGAGAGUUGUUAAAGGUAAAGGGACCCCUGACCAUUAGGUCCAGUUGUGGCCGACUCUGGGGUUGCGACACUCAUUUUGCUUUAUUGGCUGAGGGAGCCGGCAUACAGCUUCCAGGUCAUGUGGCCAGCAUGACUAAGCCGCUUCUGGCGAACCAGAGCAGCGCACAGAAACGCCGUUUACCUUCCUGCCGGAGUGGUACCUAUUUAUCUACUUGCACUUUGACAUGCUUUUGAACUGCUAGGUUGGCAGGAGCAGGGACCGAGCAACGGGAGCUCACCCCAUCGCGGGGAUUCGAACCGCCGACCUUCUUAGGAGACCCAUAUACUCCCCCCCGAGCUACAAUCAGAGGUGUAUCUAGGGACUGGCAAAACUGACCCCUCGCUGGGGGCGCAGGUCUGGGGCGUAUGCAGAAAUCACCUAUGUGUGUGAUGAUGUGCCACCGCUAUUGCAGCAAGAUCAAAUGUGGGAGAAUCUUCCCAUCCUGACACCGCAACACAAAGGUGAGCAGUGAAGUGAUUUCUUUUGGGGGGUGGGGGUGGAGAGAACAGAUACAGCUCCUUGCCAAGGGCACAAGGGACCCUGGGAAUGCCUCUGGCUACUGUUCCCAGAGUUUCCUGAGAAGAAGGAGUGAUGGUUAAAGCACUUUGGGAAGUGUAGUUCUGGAAGGAGAAUAGGGGGUCUCCUAGCAUCGCUCAGCACCCUUAACAGACUACAACUCCCAGGGUUCUUUGUGGGACGCUGUGGCUGUUUAAAGUGGUAUCAUAGCUUUUUAAAUGUGUGGUGUGACUGUAGCCACACAAAGAGGCCUUUCUAGGGAGCAAGCAAGUGUGCUGGCUUGCCCCUGAAAUUGUGGGGGCCGUGUGACGUGCGCAUGUCUUGCAACAUGCCAACGUCACUUGCACAUGCCAGGCAAUGUGCUGGCAUGCUGUUUGCAUGCCGGAUGGAUUGUGAUGCGAGCACACUGCACGGCGUGCGCAGGUGAGUUGAGCAUGUUGCGCCACUUGCACGCACGGCCGCCACAGAAUUUUGAGGGGCCCAGCCCCCUUCUUGACAAUUUUGGGGGGUCCUUGCCCCCCACCCCACAGAUGGAGCCCCUGUGAGCAAGAAAGACGCAGCUGAGAGUCUUGGUACAGAGUGGUCCAUGCCCCAGACAGAAAAGAAGUGGGGCAGCUGUCUGCUUGGAGGGAGAAGAGAGGGAAACAGAACCGCCCCGACUGAGUUGACUCUCUUCUCCAUCUUCGCCUUCGUCUUCUGUCUCGGGUGUGGCGCCUCUGACUCCCUAGGGGGAUCCCAGCCAGAAUCUUCUCUCGCUGGUGUCGUCUCUGUGUCUCGCAAGGGAGGCCCGAGCAAGAUUUUUGAUGGUGGUGGCAGUCUGGCAUUCCUGCGCAGGUUUUGGUGGCAUGCCAACUCUGGUAAAGAAAUGAGUCUCUUUCCCAUUGAGCUAGAGGCCUGAGCAGGUUGGUAAGUCAGGCCCAUGAAACCGGGAGAGAGAAAAGUCAGCCUUCUGAGGUUGCGAGCUGUUAGUCCUGUGCCUGUAUCCAAGUGCAUCUAAUCAAGAGAAAGGGAAGAAUGCUAGCAGACAGACAGGAGCACCCCACCCCAAUUUCAGUGCUCCAAGGUCUUUGCCCAAGAAGGGGCCUGAAGUUGCAGUGUUGCAUUAUUGUGAUCAGCGGCUUGAAUGGAAACUUGCAAGGUGUCUUGGGUAAUUGCAAGAUAUUAACGUAGCAAUGUUUGCCCCUUUCGAAAGACGAGUUAUCAGACUGUGCACUGGGGAGGGGGCCUUAGCUCAGUGCUAGAGCAUCUGCUUUGCAUACAGAAGGUCCCAGGUAGAUUACCUAGCAUCUCCAGGUAGACCCCUGCUUUAAAAUCUAGAGAGACACUGCCUGCCAGUGUAGAAAUACAGUGGUACCUUGGUUCUCAAACUUAAUCCAUUCCAGAAGUCCGUUCCAAAACCAAAGUGUUCCAAAAUCAAGGUGUGCUUUCCCAUAGAAAGUAAUGCAAAACAGAUUAAUCCGUUCCAGACUUUUAAAAAACCACCCUUAAAACACUGCAUUGAUGAUAGUCAUUGUUUGGAUGGGAGGCUUUUAUCCAUUUCCACAGUCACACAAUCAAUCAAUCAAUCAAUCAAUCAAUAGCUGAACUGGGAUCCAGUAGUCACAAGAACAAAUUAACUGAAAAAACCUCAAAACAAAAACGCAAAAUAAAUGGCAAAAGCACCAAAUAUAAGCUCCAAAUAUCACCUCCGAACACUGCAAUCAGAAACAGAAGGUUUGUAUUACAAUGGGGGGACGCAAAUGAGCAGUGCAGCAGGAAACACAGGGGGACUCAAAACGGAGCACGUUCGGCUUCUGAAAAAAAGUUCGAAAAAAGUUUGAAUACCGGAACAUCUAUUUCCGGUGUUGAAGCGUUCGGGUUCCAAGUUGUUCGUGAACUAAACUGUUCGAAAACCGAGGUACCGCUGUACUCAGGUUGAUGGGCCAAGAGUUUAUCUCUGUAUAAGGCACCUUCCUAUGCGUCUGAACACGAGCUAAAGUAGUGCAUGAAUAGCCAUGGUGUCAGUGAAAUGCACUCUGCGUAUGCUCUGAGGAGCUCUCUCCUUUUAUGUGUUCCAUUCUGUCGUAAGGCCAAGCCCCGGGCAGAGGAAGAGAGAAAAGGCUCAGGAACACAGCACUUCAAUCCAGCCUUCCGUCUCCAUUUCAGCACUGCCCUCAGGGCACAGUCAGCAAAGAUUCUCUCCACAAACUCUUGCAGCUGCCAAACAGCAAAGGGGAGCCAACCUCCUGUUCUCAGGAGGAGGAAACAGAUCUUCUGAAUGCCAGGGGGAAAAAGAGAGACAGCUGGAUCCUUUCAAGAAACACAAACAAGUCCAUUCAAACGUCUGGGCAAAUUGUGGUGGGGCCUGACAGUCCGUUUCCUAAACUGAAACCCUUGAGUUGAACGGAACCACCAUUUCACUGAAGCAAGAAGCCCUGCAAUCCAGCUUUGAUGAUCUAACCGUAUGUGUUUUUCUAGAUCCUUCUAGGAGGCAGCGAUACCCAUUAACUUGGAUGGCUUUAAAGGAAGAUUAGACAAAUUCAUGGAGGAAAAGGCUGUCAAUGGCUGCUAGGAGGGGAAAGGGCUCUUGGGCUUCAAUCCUGCUUGCAGGUUUCCCAUUGGGGCAUCUGGCUGGCCGCUGUUGUGAUGGCCUGGGAUUCAGACUCAGAGGCUGAACCUGAGGAAUUCCAGCCUGCACAGGAGUCCCCGCCUCCAGAACCAGCUGAGCCGGGGCUGGGGCUUGAGCCUGAAGGGUCCUCACCUGUGCCAGAUCCUCAGAAGCAGACACCAGCUGAGUCUGCUCUGGCUCCUGAGGUGAUGGAGGACCCAUUGCCUGCAGGUGCUCCACUCUCAGCCCCGUCAGGGGAGGCUGAGGUUGCCUCUGGGUCCAGUAACCCUCUAGCCUCUCCUGAGCUGCAGAGGCUCAGGGCAGAGAGGCGGAGGGAACUAAGUUCCCGCAGGAGGAGUGCUCACCUCCAGGCCAGGAGAGGCGAGUCACCUGUGGACCGGGGCCACCCUAUGCCUCGGGGCAGAUAAAAGCCAGCCAGCCCCAGUCCCAGGUUGUGGGAGCAACGUUGUUGGUAGCCUGUCCCUGCCUGCACCCUGUCCUGCUUCUCUGCCAGAGCUCCUGACCUCACCCAACUCCCUGCCUUGGACCCAGCUACAACUUUGAUGGACUGUCUCCCUACUGCACCCUCAACCUCGGACUGGACUCGGACCUCGCCUCACGGAUAACCCUUGGGACCAGCACAGCUUUGAGAACAGGAUGCUGGACUAGAUGGGCCAUUGGCCUGAUCCAGCAGGCUCCUCUUCUGUUCUAAACAUAGCAGAAAGGGUCUCAAGAUUGCAGUGGGCUGUGGCUUGCUGCUUUGAACUGCUGCCUGCACAGGCCAUAAUCCAACAGGUGAAGCUUCUUCUUCUUUUAAUCGUCACUGCAUCUCCAUUCCAGGAAAGGACAGCAGAUAAAAUGAUAGAUUACAACAGACCGAGAAUGAUAUUCACAAACAAAUCUAAAAUUGGCUAUUAUAAUGUACGUUUCAUAGCAUUGUAACAACAACAACUACAACCAAAACCUAUGAAAAAAUAUUUAAAAAACCUGACUGUCAAAGGAAAACAACACUGUGGAAAUAGAGCAUGUCUGGAAAAUCAAGACAAUUCAUAUAAUCCUGAUUUUGGUAACAGCUCAGGGCUUAGUUCCAAAGGAAAACUGUUUCUGCUUAAUGCAACGCAAAAAAGCUGUCAUUCUCCAGACUUCCUAUAUAAUCAGGAAAUUCCUAAAGAUCUCCUAACUCCACUCUUGAUGGAACGCCGUGCUGGAUACCACAGCUCUGUCUGAGCAAGAAAUAGAACUCUGAACAAUAUAAAAGAGGGAUGAUGAUAAAUUAUACUUUUCGUUUACAGUGCACUUUUGAGGGUUCAAAACACUUCACAUUUGUCUCAGUCAACUUUACAAGCAACCAUAUAGAGUAGACCAGGAUGAAGAAGAAGGCAAACGUAGAGAUACCACAUCUUUCAGCCUUGGGCUGGGGUAGAACAGUUUCUGCUGCUAAAAUGACAGGUGGACAAAUUGUCAACUUCAGUUCUCCAUGUUUCUUUCUUUUUUCUUUCAAUCUUAAAUUCAGGUCUCCACAUCUCUGCAACCAUUUGUGAUAUGUGUGUGCUUUUUAAAUAAAAAAAUAAUGAAGAAAAUUCACCAGCCUUUUAGUGGAAAUUUCUCUUAAUAAAUAUGUUUUUGUACACAGUUUUGACUAAAAUGCAUUCUUGCAUGCAAUUUCCACUAACAUAAUGAAUUUUUUUUUGCUUGUCCUUUUCACUAAUAUAUGUAUUUUUAUGUUCAUUUUUACCCUGGUAUAGGUUUUUUGUACACUUGGCCGGAAAGCUGCAUUGCAAAAUUUGGAGAAGCGCGAAUUCCCAAGGGUGGCUGCAUUAUGCUUUGUAUAUUGUUUCACGAAGUACCAACUGGGUAGGUUUGCCUUUAAACGCAAACUGACUCAAAUUUGACCCCUGUGCCUACCUACUACCAAAUUAAGCGUUAAGCCAUCAGUCUUGCUUCUUCCUGACCCUGUGUGAGAGGCAGAUGAGAUAUUCCAGGAUGAGAGAGGGUGGGGGGAGAAAUGGAUGCCCUCAGGUGAGAAAAUGAGAGGGCAAAGCCUUUUCUGUAUAGGACAAAAGUUAAGGUACACCUGAGAGAGGAGUUCUUAUUUUUAAAAAAUCCUUUUUUCUUUUCAUUCAUUCUUUCUUUUUAUUAUUUUUGGUUUAGAUUAGUUUAUUUUUAUUGAAUUAUGAAAAGCAUUAAUAAAACUUCUUUUUUAAAAAGGUCUUGCCUCUUCCCCUAUGCCUUGGGGUGAGGCGGGGUCACUGCCUUUUAAUUUUAAAGCACGGUGAGCGUACAUCAUUACGGGCUUCCUUAAAUUCCUAUCCACAAACGGUCUGACUCAGCAGAAGGCAGCUUCCAUGUUCCUGCUGCCCCCAGUUAUGAGCCUCUCAAUAUCAAUUCCUGGGGCAAAAUACACUCAUGGUCUGCUUUUGUGCUUCCCAAAGGCAUAACACCAAGCACAUGGAAUGGACAGGCCUUUAGCCUGACAUCAAACAGGGCUCAACUGAUGACUGGGAGUGGCUGCCAAGACCAUAUAAAACCAGUCCUGAAAGACCUACAUUGGCUCCCAGUACGUUUCCGUGCACAAUUCAAAGUGUGGGACUGAUUUUAAAGCCCUAAACCAGGGUCAGCAAACUUUUUCAGCAGGGGGGCCGGUCCACUGUCCCUCAGACAUUGUGGGGCGGCAGACUAUAUUUUGAAAAAAAUAUAUGAACGAAUUCCUAUGCCCCACAAAUAACCCAGAGAUGCAUUUUAAAUAAAAGGACACAUUCUACUCAUGUAAAAACAUGCUGAUUCCCGGACCGCCUGUGGGCCGGAUUUAGAAGGCAGUUGGGCAAGAUCCAGUCCCCGUGCCUUAGUUUGCCUACCCAUGCCCUAAACAGCCUCAGCCCAGUAUACCUGAAGGAGCAUCUCCACCCCCAUUGUUCAGCCCGACACUGAGGUCCAGCUCCGAGGGCCUUCUGGCGGUUCCCUCUCUGCGAGAAGUGAAGUUACAGGGAACCAGGGAGAGGGCCUUCUCGGUAGUGGCGCCCGCCCUGUGCAACACCCUCCCAUCAGAUGUCAAGGAAAUAAACAACUAUCCGACUUAUCAAAGACAUCUGAAGGGAACCCUGUUUAGGGAAGUUUUUAAUGUUUGAUGUUGAUAAUUAUAGUGCUCUUCAUAUUCUGCUGGGAAACCCAGCCAGAUAGGCAGGGUAUAAAUAAUAAAUUAUUAUGAUUGUUAUUAUGUUUCCAUCCACAAAGAGAAACCAACCACCCAGGAAAUGUGAUGCACCUCCAUGAGACUUAAUGGAUGGCAAAUAGGAGCCUUGUGCCAGCUGGCCAUUAUAGAAUCAUAGACUUGUGAAGUUGUAAGGGACCACGAGGGUCAUCUAAGUCCACUGCAGGAAUCUUUUGCCCAACACUGGACUCAAACCCACAACCCUGAGAUUAACAGUCUCAUGCUCUACCGACUGAACUUUAAGAACACCAGUUUAAGAAUGGUUGCCCGAGUCUGAUUUCUCCUCCUCUUUCCUCCCUGUCCCUUUCCCCUUGUGUGUUGUGUUUCUUUAGAUUGUAAACUUGCAGGAAGGAGCAACGGUCUUGCUUUAAUUGAUCAUAUGUAAGCCUUUUUGACCAAAGAAUGGGAUGUAAAUGGAAAUAACAAUACAGUGGUAUCUCUGGUUGUGAAUGGGAUCCGUUCCGGAGGCCCAUUUGCAACAUAAAAACCCCGCAACCUGAAGCACCGUAUCUGCGCAGGUGUGCGGCGCGAUUUAGCGCUUCUGCGCAUGUGUGAGCGGCGAAACCCAGAAGUAACCCUUUCCAGUAAUUCCAGGUCGCCGCGGGACACAACCUGAAAAAACGUAACAUGAAGCAAACGUAACAUGAAGUAUGACUGUACCUCGGGUUACAUACGCUUCAGGUUACAGACUCCGCUAACCCAGAAAUAGUGCUUCAGGUUAAGAACUUUGCUUCAGGAUGAGAACAGAAAUUCUGCUCUGGCGGCGCAACGACAGCAGGAGGCCCCAUUAGCUAAAGUGGUGCUUCAGGUUAAGAACAGUUUCAGGUUAAGAACGGACCUCCGGAACGAAUUAAGUACUUAACCCGAGGUACCACUGUACUACUACUGCUACUGCUGCUGCUACUACUAAUAAUUGUUGCACAGUGCAAUGAGGACACCUCCAGCUCUCCUUCCUUGACUCUGGAGGCAAACGGGUUGUGUCUGGACAGGCAAACUUUGACAGUUUGAUUUUAUUUGCUGAUGACAGAUCUGCCGCUGCUGUUUUAUGGAGUGAUGUCAUCUUACGUUGUCCCAAGCUGAGGAGGAGAGCAGAUCCCAUGUACCUGCAGCCUCAGCUAGCUGGCUCUCAUGAGCCAAAGUAUGCAAGGUUUCAACUUGCACCAAAAACCUCAUAAAUUUCCUGCUGCUGCUUCCUCCUCCUCUCUGCCUCCUUAACAGAAAUAGCAAGCUCUUGACGACCUUCUCAUCCUGUGACAACACUUCUUUCUUAUUUUUUAAAAAUUCUUCCUAAUUUUAGGUGACAUCUGCCCUCGGUCACAAGAACAGCAAGCACUCCUUUUCGGUGGAAGGAUUUGCAAGAGGGUGUCAUUGACCCCCUGAAGAAAUAUGAACAGGGCUGGAGAGCCUGAAGGAUACCAGAGCCGUGAGCCAUCGGCCUACUCCUCCAUGUGCAGAGGAAAAGAU